AUCACGUGGGUUACACAUUUUGCCUAAUUAACAAUGGAGAAAUGAUUCAGUAAGUUGGAGAUUACAAUUUUUGCAUAAAAUUUUCCAAGCGUCAUUUUGCAAGAUUAUUACAUUGGCAUCACGUGGCUGUCUGGCUGAGCAUUUUAAUCCGGACUGCCCAUCACCCUCUACAACCAUACCACCCAGAGAAGAGAAGACGAGUCCUUGGGAUUGCUUCUCUAUUUAAGCCUAAAUACGAAAGAUAAAACUAUUCUCUGGCAUGUGCAAACCUGAUUCGAUAGAUGGCAUCUGCUACACCA
rnacentral:misc_RNA from 1 species